ACGAACGCUGGCGGCGUGCCUAAUACAUGCAAGUCGAACGCAUUUUCUUUCACCGUAGCUUGCUACACCGAAAGAAAAUGAGUGGCGAACGGGUGAGUAACACGUGGGUAACCUGCCCAUCAGCGGGGGAUAACACUUGGAAACAGGUGCUAAUACCGCAUAAUUCCAUUUACCGCAUGGUAGAUGGAUGAAAGGCGCUUUUGCGUCACUGAUGGAUGGACCCGCGGUGCAUUAGCUAGUUGGUGGGGUAACGGCCUACCAAGGCUGCGAUGCAUAGCCGACCUGAGAGGGUGAUCGGCCACACUGGGACUGAGACACGGCCCAGACUCCUACGGGAGGCAGCAGUAGGGAAUCUUCGGCAAUGGACACAAGUCUGACCGAGCAACGCCGCGUGAGUGAAGAAGGUUUUCGGAUCGUAAAACUCUGUUGUUAGAGAAGAACAAGGAUGAGAGUGGAAAGUUCAUCCCUUGACGGUAGCUAACCAGAAAGCCACGGCUAACUACGUG
rnacentral:rRNA from 1 species